rnacentral:rRNA from 1 species
UACGGAGGAUCCGAGCGUUAUCCGGAUUUAUUGGGUUUAAAGGGAGCGUAGGCGGGUUGUUAAGUCAGUUGUGAAAGUUUGUGGCUCAACCGUAAAAUUGCAGUUGAUACUGGCAUCCUUGAGUACAGUAGAGGUAGGCGGAAUUCGUGGUGUAGCGGUGAAAUGCUUAGAUAUCACGAAGAACUCCGAUUGCGAAGGCAGCCUGCUGGACUGUAACUGACGCUGAUGCUCGAAAGUGUGGGUAUCAAACAGG